CUUUACUAUAGCCUGAAAUCGUGUUCGGGCUUCGCUUACGCAGGAUAGGUGGGAGGCUGUGAAGUUCUGCUUGUGGGCAGAAUCGAGCCAACGGUGAGAUACCACUUUAGCGAGGCUAGAAUUCUAACCCUUACCCGUCAUCCGGGAAGGAGACAGUUUCAGGGGGGUAGUUUGACUGGGGCGGUCGCCCCCUAAAAGGUAACGGAGGCGCGCAAAGGUUCCCUCAGGCUGGUUGGAAAUCAGCCCAAGAGUGCAAAGGCAUAAGGGAGCUUGACUGCAAGACCUACAAGUCGAGCAGGGUGGAAACACGGUCUUAGUGAUCCGACGGUGCCGCAUGGAAGGGCCGUCGCUCAACGGAUAAAAGUUA
rnacentral:rRNA from 1 species